CAGGGAUCCCUUCUGGUGGAGUAUCUGGUGAGCCCUGGUCUUUGGGGCAGAUUGUCUUUAAGUACCUGUUCUGUGGCAGUUGCUUGUUGGAUCUUUGUCAUUAAGUUGUCACUAGAAGUCCUUUGUUCUGUUCCUCGCUGUCUCCAUGUGUGACUUUGAGACAAAUGGUUUCUGUUGGCUGGGGCACAUCAGAUGUCUCUUAGAUGGUUAUGGGGAGCAGCUGUAUCACAGAAUCACAUAAUAUCUUGAGUUGGAAGGGACUCACAAGGACCACUUAAUCCAACUCCUGGCUUCACAUGGGACCACCCAAAAUUCAAGCCCAGUGCCUUGAACUUCGGAAGCCUUGGGGCCACCAUCAUUGCACGGUUCCCCAGUGAGGUGGGACCCUUCUGGUCUGCAAGAGACGAGGUGAGCAGAUCCUCCUAUGUGUGCACUGAUUCCCAGUGCUGCCUUAGCUCACGAAGCCUUGGAGACAAAGGUGAAACGAAGGGAGCCUUCACCAUGUUGUGGCUGCUUCACGACCCUUUGGGCAGGUUCUUGGCCACUGCAACAACCUCCAUCCCGAAGCAGGUGGAGGGAAGAGCUCCUUGGUCAUCCUGAAAUCCCACUCCUUGGGUCAUGCUGUUUGACCCAAGAGAUGCUAAGCCAUAGCCCAGAGCAACCGGAAAUGAAGGUGAUGAAGGAAUUUGUAAUUAAAUUGCCAUUAGAUGGAUAACAGAUUGCCUGACAGCUGACAGUGAGUGAAAGCGUUCUAUCCUGUCAUGUUUUAUCAGCAUGAAAACCAUUUGCAAGUGCUCUAAUUACACUCCUAAUUGCCAAUGUGAUUAGGGACCUGCAGCUGUUCAUUAAACGUGUGUCACCCUCAGCCAGCAAUCUGCAGGAGAGAGUAUUUAAUUAAUUGAAUAGCACACUGGAUGAAAGCUGGAGGUGGACAACCUGGGAGCUGGGCGAGGAGCGGAGGAACCUAGCACCUAAAAGAGCUGGUGUGGCAGGUUGUCUGACACCAACAGAGCUGCUGCUGUGCAGACAUGCCCCAGAGAAUCAGAAAGCCAUGUAACAGGUCAGAAAUGAACAGGAGUUAGCAAGGAACAGGGCAUUCCCCUUCCAAUUCACCUACUGCUUUUGGAUGCUUGCUCUCUUGGUGCCUCCAUGCUUAGCAGUGCUGGUGGGAGAGCCUUGAGGCACAUCAGGAGAAGAUUUAGGAGGCAUCACCUUUUCCAUUUCCAUUUAGUGAGUGUCCGUAGUGAUAUUUUCUUGAGAACUAAUUCUGUGUUUUGUGGAUUUUCUCUAAGUUCAAAGCGCAAGGUCAGCUGCAUUGUUUUACUGUUUCAUCCCAACGGCAGGAUGUAGAGUAGCCCAGGCUAAGAGGGACCACAAAAAACCUUUUAUGGGGAAAAAGAUCCUGGAACCUCCACCAUCUCUUAAGAAGGAGAUCCGAGCAGAUGAAGACUGAAUGAAAGCUUGGGAUGCUGGAAAGGCAGCGUAAGAAGUCUCAGUGCCAUCAUCCAAGAACAGGGAGCCCCAACUGGGGAGCCUAGAGAGGGACUGGAGAGUAAGGACAGCCCAGCCCGCAGUAAGGAAGCCUUGAGUGAAGCUUGCUGUCCCCUAUAAGCCUUUCUGCCCAGCCCUGCAGCUCUGCUGUAGUGCCAGGUAUUCCUCCUUGCAUCAUGUGGGGCUCUGUCCUUUCUUCCUCUGAGAGCAGCUCUCUGCCCUUGCGUUACCGACUCUUCUCUCGUUGAUUUCAGACCCCUCCUUCAGUGCACAGAGAUGCUUCCAAAUGCUCACUUCUCCCACCACAAAUCUGCAUGACACCCCACCUCUGUUCCCUGACAAAGAGCCAUUGGGCCAAGCCCCAUCCAACGCUGAGCCAUCAAUGCCUUUGGAAAUCUGGAUCAUGAGGGCAGCCGCUCUCUGGGCUGCCAAUGGCCCAAAGUUCUCCACCUCUGCCUUCAAAGACUUUCACAAGCAAUGGGAUCCGGCCCCAUAGCAGAUCUGUACCUGGUGGAUGUGCAUCACCAUUGGCUUUCAUGUCCUUGCUCUUUUCCAACUGUAAUCAUUCUCAGAUUUUUAUGAUCUGAACAAGGAAGGUUUAAGCUGUUGGGCCAUAGGAGACCCUGCUCUCCUCUUUGCUGCAGUCCCAGGUUUUUCCUGCCAGAAGACUUUCUCACUCCCACAUCCAGCAGGCUCAGCUUUCUUUGCCCUCCUCAGAGCCUGAUGGCUCAGUGAAGACAUCUCUAUGGAGAUGCACCUCUGGGGCAGCCAGCCAGCUGUGGAGCAAGAUGGGAGUAUCUUGGAUGCCUUGGUGGAAUUUGCAUGCUCUUAUUGCCAAGCUUGACAAAGAGCAAGGGCAGCCCUAAACCUGCCAAAUCGCAGUGGGAAUGCAGGGCAAUGGAAGGCAAGUGGCUCUUGGAGUGCUCAGACCCUCCUUGCCCUCGUGCCUCUAGGGAACCACCUCUUCUCCAACACCUCUAUGGAGUUCCCUUCCCAUGAAGCCAUUCUAUCCUGCCUGGUCUUCUGCCUGUGCUUUUUUCCACUGCGUCUCCCUUCCAAUUCUCCCUCUCCUCCCUGCAGUUUCUGCACUGAGCUGUACAGAGCUUUGUCCUGUUUCCCAAUGAAGGGCGAAGCACAAAAAUAAGUUGUGUGUUAUUUACACUCCUCUGGAUUGUGUGUGAACGGGAGCCCUGCAAUUUUAAAGCCUUUUAAAAUCAGUUAAAGAUUUAGAUUUCUCUGUUGGCGACAUUUGCAACUUGAUGUUGCUAAACACUUGAGUGCAGCUCAUUUGCAGACAUUAACGAGCACAUCAGAGGAGUCUGAAGCACCAACAGUGCUGCUCAUCUCCUGUUAUUUAUAAUACUCUGUCUCUGGAUAUCGCCCAGCCAAGAGCUGUUAGCCUGCAGCUGGAGCAUCCAUCUUCCUUCAGCAGAGCACCAGCAGCACGCACCAUGGCUGGGGGGUGCAUCCCCAUUGCUGGCUGCUGGGGGGCAGGAGCAGGCCACCAAGCAGCAAGAUCCCAGCUCCUGGUGAGCAUCACCAGAGCCAGACAGUGACCUCUUCACAAUGGGCUCAGUGUGCAAAGCAGCCUCAGAACCCUGCUCCUGUUCUCUGUGUCUGGGACCCAAUUAGAGCCCAGCAUCCUCCCGCAACCCAAGCAGAAUGACUGUUUUCUUCCACGUUAGGAUGACUGCAGGGACGUGAAGCGGUGAUUAUUCCUCUAAUUAAUGGUCAGAUUUACCCAGUAAUUGGCAAAUGAGAGACUCCACCAUCAGCCCUAGAACAUGGGAGAGUCAUCCCCUGUAAAUAGCUCUAAACGAGGCUCUUUGAACCAUUGGUUGCAUGGGAGGCAAUGAAUUACUUGCUGUGCUCAAGACAGACAUGUUAUUUAUUGAACUCAGAGAAUUAAGGCUUUCUGGUUUAUUGGAGAUGAACCUAAGCAAAUGUGAUUUAGGAUGUGAUUUAGGAGCCUGGAGUUGCUGGCAGCUCCUGGUAUGGCAUGCAGCAUGCUGUGCCAUGGCAAGGGGGAUUUACAGCUCUUUGUUGCUGGAGUAUGAUGCAUUAUUAAUCAGUCAUAUUUUAGGAGAUCCAAAUUUAUGUAGGCUCUAAUUAGACUGCUCUCUUUUUAAUCUUGGAGUGUGCACAGGACUUAAUGGUACAUGGGAGCGUAGCAUGGAGGGGUGUGCCCUGGGACAUCAUUACCUCCUCUGCUCUCACAUCCAUCUGCAGGAUGCCAUUAGGAUUUGUCUCUAUGAUGACAAUGCCAUGCAGCAUCCCUUGCAUCUCCUGAGCCAUCAGCCAGAUCUCUUUGCUUUGCACAGGUAAAACCAAGGCUAUUAGAGAGGAGGCCUUGAGCUGAAUGCGUGGAGUGGGGAGCAGCGUGCUUGGCAUGCAGCAUGAGUGCAGGAAAACGAAUGCUGAAAUGGACUGAGGCACUUGGAAUAGGAGUUGUUUCCAUCGCAUGGGAAGGAGCAGUGCCUCUGCUGUGUCCCUGGAUGAACCCAGCUCUGCUCAGUGCCAGCUCCACAACCGCUGCCCUGCUAUGGAAAGGGGGUGACCAACCAAGAGCAACCUCACACGGGCAUUCUGAGCCAGCUGAUGGGAGCAUCCCUCGUUGGUAGGGCAGCAAAGGAACCUGAGCAGGAUUUGGCCCCAGGGACUGCUCACAGCCAAGUUUGCUUGGUAGAGGAGUCAGAGUCUCACAGCUGGUCCCUAUGGCUUGCUUCUGUUGGAGCAGGGGCAGCAGGAAUGGGUGGGAAAAGGUUCUGGAAGGCACUGGGCUCAGAGCUUGUGUAAGGCACACACAGCAGCCUGGGACUGAGAAUGUAAAUGGAGGCAUGCAGAAAGAAGCAGGUGAAGUGCUUCAGCACAGCAUCGGGGUGGGAGAUAGAGCAGGGCUGCUGAAAGUGGGGGAAGAAAAUCCUCAUCCCACUGACACCUCCAAAGAAAAGGGGAUAAAACCUCAUUACAGAACCUGAUGAGAAGUUCAAACUAAGCUCAUCUACCCAUGGAGAGAAGGAAAAAAAAUAAAGCAGCCUUCUCAUUUCCUCCCCUUUUUUCUCCCUGCCCGUACAGCCAUAUGCAUUUAUAUGUACUUAGAGGACUUCAAACAAUUUUGCUGCUGCUUCUGCUGAUCUCCUCGCUCGCUGCUGAGCGCUUCUUCAAAUGGAAAGGCAUCACAACUCCUCCUCCUCAGAGCGUCGGGCCCCAGUUUUCCUAUCAACCAUUUCAAACCACUUAUCCACUCAGCAGCUUUUCGGAUGGAGAACUCCCUGGAGCCGCACGCUCAUCUCUGAGCACCUGUAAUUUUAAAUUAAAGGAAGGGGAAAGGCUCAUCCUCCUCUGAGGCCGCAUCUCCCACCUGCAGCACCAGGGCUGCCCGUGCUUGGUGCCCUCCCUGCUUUGCUCUGCCCAUGGAUGCAAUGAACAGAAAUGGCACAGAAAGCAAAUCAGGGAGCAAUUGCUGGGUGAUCUCAUUGCACUGGCAAGCGUGGCUUGGAUGGGUUGCAAACUGCUCCAGCUUCUUCCGAUGUCAUUGCACCGGGGCGUUGUAUUUAAGGCAAAAAAGCACAGCUCAGGAAGCAGUGUCUCUGCACAGGGAUAAACAGGAGGCAUUUUUUCCACAUGAGCAUGUCUGAUGAGCUCCAGGCCACAUCUGCCUGCUGAUUGCUGGCCUGGGUGGCUGUGGGAUGCAGUGGGACCAGGAAGGUGCCCCUGGAACAGCGAGCAGUGAUGAACAGCAGAGGAGCACUGUGAGGCCCUGCAGAGAGCACCCAGCCUGGUGGCACAGCAGUUAGGUGGCAGCUGUGCUGAGUAAUGGCUCUGUUGCUGAUCUAUUAUUGAAAGUGAUGGAAUAAUAAUACACUGUAGAGAAAAGCAGCACCGUGACACAGAAGGGUGUGAAGUGACUUGAAAUUAUCUGGUAUAAAUACUCCAGAAGCCCCGACAGGUGAAGUCUGAAUGAGCCAGGAGAGCCCACGGGAGGCAUUUCACAGCAGAACCCUACAGAAAGCAAAAGCUGUUCUGUGUGCUGAGCAUCAGCUGUGGAAAACUAUGUGGUGUGGGUGGCCCUGGGGCACAAAGCAGUGAUGCAGAUAAAUGCCCAGGCACGUCGCUGUGAGGAGGGAGUGAAAGGAAGCCUUGUGCUAACGGGCUGGAGGAGAGCCUGUGAGCCCAGGGAUUGUGGGGAGACAGAGUGGGGCUGGAGGGUCUCUGCCAUGAGGGCAAAAGCUGCUCCCUGGGGCUGGUGGGGCACUGAGGCUCUGCUGAGGAUGGGGCUGCAGGUCGUGGCUGGUUUAGGAGAGAAGCUGAGAGCAGGGAUGGAGCGCUCUCACUAUGGAGGGUUUUGUAGACUUCCAGGGCCAGCUGUUCCAUAGGCAGUUCUCCCAGUUAAACCAGCACAGCACCAGCUGGCAUCGAUUUGGGCUGUGUGACCUCCUCCAGCCUGCAGACUUGGCUCAGCCUCUGAAGAAGCUGGCCUUGAUGGCAAUGGGGUCUCGCUUCAAACUGGGUCUUGCUUUGAGCGAGGGGAUCGACUGGGGGUGUCUCCUGUCCCUUCCUCUGCCACCGUUCUGUGGUGCCCUCUGUGUUCCUGGGCAGCCUCCCUGGAGCAAUCCCUGCUGAACAAUCCCUGCUGAAGCUGCUGCACUCAUCCACCCAGAAUGGGAUGGCUUCAAACUCAGGGCUCUGUGGGGUUUUUUUUCCACUCUAAAAAUAGUGAUGAUUCAGGAGAAACCCAGCAGUAGAACCCUUCCUCCAUAAAUCACAGGCCCAUAGAAUAGCUUGGGUUGGAAGGACCUCAAAGAUCACCUUGUCCCAACCUUCAGGAGCUGCUCUUUGGAAUGGGACCCACCAGGAUCCUUCAAGUGGUCCAAGCAGUGCUCGUGGGGCCAUUGGAACACAGCACAAACAUAAAUAUGGCAUAUUAAAUACACAAAGGAAGGAAAAGUUGCUAAUUGCCCACGAAUAACAAGCUGUAACCACGUAGCUCACUUAAUUAGAAAAGAAAUUAAUCACAACAUGGAAGGCACGCUUUAAUUAUAGCAAGGCAUUGCACUGAGUGAUAAUGAGCAUCACCGGAGCCGGAAAGCGCUGCUGUUUGCAAUCUCAUUUUGGUCUCUCACUGCAUGCUCACGCAUCCCCUGUGCAGCAGAUAGCCUUGCUCUGAGCAGGGAAUGGGACCAGAGACCUCCAGACACCUCUUCCUCCCACCCGGAGCUUCCCACGCGUCACGUCAGACCAAACACAGUCUGCUCCAACCUGAUUUGUUCCAUGAUUCUACUGACACGACGCUGUGGUUUCGUCUUUAUGCCUAAGAACCUUCAGGAUCUCUUAUUCCUUCUGCUUUCCGCAU